UACGUAGGUGGCAAGCGUUGUCCGGAUUUAUUGGGCGUAAAGCGCGCGCAGGCGGUUUCUUAAGUUUGAUGUGAAAGCCCUCGGCUUAACCGAGGAGGGUCAUUGGAAACUGGGAGACUUGAGUGCAGAAGAGGAAAGUGGAAUUCCAAGUGUAGCGGUGAAAUGCGUAGAGAUUUGGAGGAACACCAGUGGCGAAGGCGGCGAUCUGGGAAGAUACUGACGCUGAGGUGCGAAAGCGUGGGGAGCAAACAGG
rnacentral:rRNA from 1 species